rnacentral:misc_RNA from 2 species
AACGCACAUUGCGCCCUCUGGUAUUCCGGAGGGCAUGCCUGUUCGAGCGUCAUUUAACGAACAUCAAGCACCGCUUGGACUUGGGCCCCCGCCCCUCGCGGGGCGGGCCCUAAAUCGGUUGGCGACGGCUUUUGGCCUCAAGCGUAGUAAAAAUAUUCCGCUCUUUGAGGCCUCUGGUCGCCCGCUUCUAGAACCACUUUACCACAAAGUUGACCUCGGAUCAGGUAGGGAUACCCGCUGAACUUAA